rnacentral:lncRNA from 1 species
GAAAGAUUACCAAAGAGGGAGGAAUGAUCAACUGGUCAAGUGCUACAGAUCCAGUCUGUGUUCUGUAACAUUUGGUUCCCUGACUGGGAAACCCAACUGCGCCGACCCAUUGUUGCCACCACUUUGGGAGCAAGGGCGGCAUGGUGACUGAAAAG